rnacentral:lncRNA from 1 species
AGUCUAAAAAUUAACACAACAUUUAUUUGAGGGCCCCACCAUUUGUAUUUUUAUUUGGCGAGACUCUGUCUCAUCAUCUUUAUUUAUAGGUUGAUCCUAAAGUGGAUAUGAUAUUUUACUUGGUUUUUGUCUCUAAUAAUAAACAAAUGAAACCUAAGUAAUUAGAUUUUGGAGAUUUGCUAAUACUUGGCUUCGAGUCUGCCCAGGCCCAAGUAAUGCACCAGGGCAAAACCAAACGCUCGAAAUCCUUGGGCCAACAAAACGAGGGCCUAAUUCCAAUCCUGAAAACCAUGAAAUACUGAUUAUGGCUUCGAAUCUGCCCAACCACAAUUUUAAACGAAACAACACACUAGCAGAUCUAAUUGCAAUUUGACAAAACACCAAUCGAACUGAACUUCAAUUUGAUAAAAAUAAAAGUGCUGCAGAUUCAAACAAACUGAUAUUGACUCAAAGUAAACAGAAUGAAUAUGAUUUUGAUAAUGUGAGGUAUGCUGACCGUUUCAAACUAAUUCAGGUGGGUUGUUGAAGUUAAAAAGCUGAGGCAUAAACGACUUGUUACACUACUGAAAAAACACCACAUUAUAUUAUACUAUACUAUACUAUUUAACACUUAAUUAAUCCAAAUUAAGACAACUAACCAUAGAGUUCUCAUAAUAAUCCAUAGAAGUCCAUUAUGACUUUAAAUAGCAGACGUAACACCAAUUAAACAAACUCAAUCCACAUAAUUCCUACGGUCCUACUCCAGGUUCGUUCAAUCUAACAGGAUUUAAACAUUCAGAAUGAAUACAAGGAUGGGAACUAAACAGUAAUGAACAUUUGCACUUCAAAUUCUCUUUCAGUUAGGAUUCAUUCAAGUUGAGCUCUAUACACCACUCAAAGUGGAGAUGACUACCUGGAAACAGGACAGAAAAGGAAGAGAAGAUAUCAGCAACAAGUAAUCAAACUGAUACCCAGCAAUUCAAAUAGCAGUGAUGGGCAUAGAUCAACAACGACUCCAGAUUUAACUCCCAGAAAUAACUUUGAAACCCAGUAGAAAAAUAAAAAACACCUACACACACAACUCGAACACCAAUUUAACUUGAAAUCCAACCCAGAAUACCCACAACAACCAAAAACAAACACCAAUGGAAUAGUUUCUAAAUUUCAGCUAACAACCAUGAACUAAGAUAAGCUUGACUAACAAUUAAACUCGAAAUUGAAAUGCAAACAUCAAUAGAACAAUGAUGUUUUUGGAUUUUUUGAAGUUUUGUUGAGUUUUUGUUUUUUUUUAUUAUAGAAAAGGCAUGAAAUUCUAAUGGAAAUUUCAGAUUUCAGAUCUCACUGUGAAUCUGCAGUUAGAGAGUAUUUUUGGGGAAUUUUUUAGGUUCAAGACCUUCUGAAUCAAGUAAAGAGCAUGCCCUUUUAUAGGCACAAAUGAGGGCAGCCCUCACAUUUUCAAUUUUCUUCUUCGUCCCUCCUCAUUUUCACUUUUAAUCCAUUAUUUUUAACUUGGAACACAAGUAACAGCCAUAGCUAAGUCCUAUUCUAGCACGUUCUAGGGUGUUCCUAGUCAGUGAAAGAAUCUUUCUCUUUUGAAUUUACUAACUUACACUCAGUUAAUUGACCUAGAAAACUAACUAUAGCCAACUGAACCUAAAUUGAUUUAACUACCACAGCCAAUUUUUACUAACAUGCUUAAUAAGUAACACUAACUCUACUGAAUAGAACUAAUAACAAUCAACCAAGACUUAACAGACACAUAAUAAUCCUAAUACAAUCAAAACCAUACUAAUACUCAAAUUAGAAUCAGAAACAAGAGAAAUUAAAAACCUAACACAGUCGACCAAUCAGGCAUGCUUCAACGCACCAAAAAGAUAAAAAUAAAAAUACAAUUUAACUAAAAUAAGGACAGACUCAAAUAGAGAAAAAUUAUAUGAAGAAGAGGGAAAGAAAUUCAAACUCACCAACACGGCUGAAACUUGGCUGCUCAUUGAUUUAAAAAUUCACUAUCCUUGCUGAUAUUUGAACGUCAUAGAUGGGAAAUUCCGUAUGAGGAAAGUGAGGCGACUGCAUGACAUCAAUUUAGAAAGAUUCCGAGGAAAUUAAGGUUGUGGAUCAAAAAUUUCAAACCCAAAUUUGAGGGGUUUCAGUGGGAUUCAAGGGAAAAUGGUCAUGGAUUUGGGUUGAGGGAAGCUAGGAGAGUCAAUGGUAUAUGUUUUGAGCGAUUUGGAAUAGUUGACGUCAUGGCCGGAAAAUCUUCCGACAAAGAUUCGAGGAUUUCCGGUGAGGUUCAAGGGAAAUCAAAGGCGGGAAUGGGAAGAGGAUGAUCUGGGGAGUUCGUGGUGUGAAUAUGAGGUGGAUUGGUGUAGGUUUUGUCCGCCAGCAGAGAUGCAGAGAGAUACGAGGAAGAGAGGGGUUGGUCGUUUAGGGUUAUACGAAUUUCGGACAGUUAUAUUGAUUAUUGAGGAAUUGCU